UUUCAUCCUUGAAGAGAUGGGCUAUUGUUCUCCACCUUUCAGGAGCUGGUGACAUCCAAGUUACUGUGCAUUCAAGGAAGCACAAUGAAACGUUAAAAUGUAGGAAAAAAACUGAACAAUCAGUGUGUCAGACUUCCAACUGGACUUACUUGAAAUGACCAUAAUAGAGGCCCGAUCUCUGCUAAGAAAAGAUCACUGCUAGUAUUAUAUCCUUCAUUUCAAGACAGAAACUGGAGAACCUAGGAGACUAGGGGAGAGAUAUGAUAUGUGGUCAUGUUGAGAACAUUUAUAAAGCCUUAGGAUAUUUAGAAGGUGGCCUCACUGAGAAAUAUUGGAACGGCAUGCAAUCUGCCAAAAUGACUCUGAGAAACUAGACAUCAACAAAUUGAAACAAAGAAAAGUGAAUAUAAUUUGGAACCCAAAUUCUGAUAUCCAUCUCCUUGGAGACAGCUGGGUGAAAUAGACAGGUGUCUUUCUUUCUGAGCACACCACACACUUAAGAACAGGAGGCAUCUCCUUACGACAUAUGGAUUCCAAACGUGUUCUAGCAACACUAUCAAGGAAAUGAAGAUAGGAUUUGGAAACUUCAGUGAAUAAUGGAUCAUAUUACACAAGCAAAUCAAUGGAGUAAGUAUAUUUUCUGCAGAUCCAGUCUUUCCAAAUCACAGUCAUUAUAGGCAGAAAAGCUUAAGAACAUUAAAGUCAUAUG